rnacentral:rRNA from 1 species
GCAGUCGCCACGGUAAAACGAAGGGGGCUAGCGUUGCUCGGAAUCACUGGGAGUAAAGGGUGCGUAGGCGGGUUUUUAAGUCAGAGGUGAAAUCCUGGAGCUCAACUCCAGAACUGCCUUUGAUACUGAAAGUCUUGAGUAUGGGAGAGGUGAGUGGAACUGCGAGUGUAGAGGUGAAAUUCGUAGAUAUUCGCAAGAACACCAGUGGCGAAGGCGGCUCACUGGCCCAUAACUGACGCUGAGGCACGAAAGCGUGGGGAGCAAACAGGAUUAGAUACCCCCGUAGUCCCUGUCUCUUAUAC